rnacentral:rRNA from 1 species
AGAGUUUGAUCAUGGCUCAGGACGAACGCUGGCGGCGUGCCUAACACAUGCAAGUCGAACGGGGCCAGGGGCAACUCUGGUUCAGUGGCGGACGGGUGCGUAACACGUGAGGAACAUGACUUUCGGCGGGGGAUAGCCGGCCCAACGGCCGGGUAAUACCGCGUACGACCUCUCGGGGACAUCCCCGGUUGGUGAAAGCAGCAAUGCACCGAAAGAGUGCCUCGCGGCCUAUCAGCUAGUUGGUGGGGUAACGGCUCACCAAGGCGACGACGGGUAGCUGGUCUGAGAGGAUGGCCAGCCACAUUGGGACUGAGACACGGCCCAGACUCCUACGGGAGGCAGCAGUGGGGAAUAUUGCGCAAUGGGCGAAAGCCUGACGCAGCGACGCCGCGUGUGGGAUGACGGCCUUCGGGUUGUAAACCACUGUCGGGAGGGACGAAUGCGCCGCAAGGCGAGUGACGGUACCUCCAAGGAAGCACCGGCUAACUCCGUGCCAGCAGCCGCGGUA